GACAGCAGUCGCCGCGGUAAUACGAAGGGUGCAAGCGUUACUCGGAAUUACUGGGCGUAAAGCGUGCGUAGGUGGUGGUUUAAGUCCGUUGUGAAAGCCCUGGGCUCAACCUGGGAAUUGCAGUGGAUACUGGGUCACUAGAGUGUGGUAGAGGAUAGUGGAAUUUCCGGUGUAGCAGUGAAAUGCGUAGAGAUCGGAAGGAACAUCUGUGGCGAAGGCGACUAUCUGGGCCAACACUGACACUGAGGCACGAAAGCGUGGGGAGCAAACAGGAUUAGAUACCCGUGUAGUCCCUGUCUCUUAUAC
rnacentral:rRNA from 1 species